GCCUCUUGUAGAGCAUUCCAGAGCUCAGCUGCAGUUCUCGGUUCGCGACGGUUGGCAGCAGUUUUGAGUUCAUGCCACAACUUCUCGAUUGGAUUCGCAUCAGGCGAUUUUGGCGGCCAGUCCAACAGUGUGACGUCAUGCUGGCGUAGCCAUUGUCUUGUUGACCGAGACGUGUGGAUUGGCACGUUGUCCUGCUGGAAGACAAAGUCGUCUCCUAUCAAUGCCGCUGCGUCUGUAAGCAUGUGCUCUUCCAGAACCUGUUGGUACGCCGUGCUGUCCAAACGACCUUCCAGUUUCACCAGAGACACCACACCAUGCCAACACAUCGAUCCCCACACCGUCACACUAGCCGCGUGCUGGACCGUACGGUCACAACAUUCAAGGAGAAAUUCCUCACCUUUGCGACGCCAAACGUACAGAGCACCAUCGUUUCCUAUGCUGACUUUUGACUCAUCUGUAAAAAGAACAGAUUUCCAGUCAUCCAAAGUCCAUUGUGUGUGAGUGGUUGCCCAUCCCAGUCGCAAACGCCGAUGGUUUUCUGUCAGCAGUGGGUUUUUUCUAGACCUCCGAGCGUUCACUCCUGACUCACUGAGACGACGACGGACUGUUCUACUUGACACCUGCUUGCCGGUUUCAUCAGCCAGCUGAUACGAGAGCAGUCGUGAUGGUGCUCUGCGGUUCUGCAGUGCCAUUCUCUUCAGUCGAUGAUCUUCCCGGAUUGUCGUUGCCUUCCCACGUCCAGAUCGUUUUUCAUAAUCGCUGCUGCCACUGGAAAGCCGUUGCAGGCACUGAUGAACCGAAUUCCUGGAGCGGCGGACAAAAGCUGCGAUGUGACGCACAGAAUGGCCAACUGAGUGAAGGGCUUCAAUUUUGCCUCGCGUUUUUGGACUCGACUGUUUGCCUCGAGGCAUCGCUGCAACUCGUGAAAUAUCGCACGGAACAAGACUCUGCAACUGCGUGCAGCUGAACGUUCAGGCUAACUUAUCGCCUAAGUUUGGCGGUCUCAAGGGCAGCGGUUUUAGUGCAGCUGACAUUUUGGCGGUAGCAGUUUGAGAUUUCGCUACGUAAAACGUGGACCGGAAGUGGCACGUCAAUGUUCUUUUGUUGCUAUAACUUUUUUAGUUUUUGUCCUAGCAGGAUUGUUUUGUAAUUAAUUAGUGUCGCAUGAUUUUUGAAUACGUUGCUAGUAGGGCACUAGCAAACUUACAUGAAGGUCUGAAUGUCUUUGGAAGUAUAAUGCAAAGAUGGUUCUAAAUAUUUUUGUUGCUAGUAGAGGUACAGAUGUAUGGGAUUAUGUUUAGUUUACUUUUUCAGACUCACAUAAGCAGGCUUUAGCACAAAUAAGAAUAUAUUUGUUUACUACAAAUAAAAUACACACACACACACACACACACACACAUGCAUGGACAUGGACGGACACGGACACACACACACACACACACACUAAAAAUGGUAAUCAUGCAUACUUACAUCCAUUCAAGUAGACAGAAGGACAGACAUAUAACAAGCAAAUACAAAAAUUCUGUAGAUAUUAUUCGUUAUUGUCUUCUCUUUAGAUCUCUGUUGAAGGUCAGUAUUUCAGUCAUCUGCUAUGUGAGUUAGGCUCUUUGCAGUACUUUCUUGAUCGCGUCCCGACACCGAGGAGACAACAAGGAAUCGUUCUUCCUCACAACCCUGAUGUGAUGAUUUCUAUCAACAAAAGUGACAGAGGUCAUCUACUCGUCGGUGAAAUACAGAGAGUACGUCUACGGCUCUCAACAGGCAGACAAAGCAUCCCACUAUCCUCCACCCUACAGAUCGAAAUUCCCAAGGAAUUCUCUAUCCAACGUGUUCUCUCUUCGUCCAUCUCACCUACAUCCUCCGAUGAUGACCACACACCCACAAACACCUCAGGCUCUUUGUCCAAAACCGACAACCUAAUGGUUUGCCUGCAGCUUCCAGCAGUUGGACCGGAGAGAGACCUUGACAUUGAGCUGCAAGUGACGGCCAAUCGAGAGGCAAGCAGCAGCAGUGCACGAUGCUGAGAAGUCAAUAUGACUGCAGUGUGUCUGUGGUAUCUCCCUGUACACAGAGCUGAUCUCUCGCAUAUAUUCUACACUUCGAUUAAAUCAAUUUUCAAGCUUCUUCCCGCACGAAACAGGUCAUGUGACUUGAUGUGUGUUUGUUUGUGUGUGUGUGUGUGUGUGUGUGUGUGUGUGUGUGUGUGUGUGUGUCUGUGUGUGUGUGUCUGUGUGUGUGUCUGUGUGUUUGUGUGUGUGUCUGUGUGUUUGUG